rnacentral:misc_RNA from 1 species
CUAGCAGUGAUGGGGAGCGGGACAAUGGCAUGGUGGAUGCCGCUGCAGAGGAAGUUGCCAAAACAGUGUGUAGGACUCGAGAGCAGUCCAAGUUGCCGAGGGAGCUACCAUCCGAGGAAGAGGUGGACUGUGUGAGGGAGAGACCUCCAGUAUCCGAAAGUCCAAGAGAAGUGGUAUUGCCAGGGCAAGAGAGGCCGAGGCAACGACG